rnacentral:rRNA from 1 species
AGGGCGCACGGUGGAUGCCUUGGCACUAGAAGCCGAUGAAGGACGUUACUAACGACGAUAUGCUUUGGGGAGCUGUAAGUAAGCUUUGAUCCAGAGAUUUCCGAAUGGGGAAACCCAGCAUGAGUUAUGUCAUGUUAUCGAUAUGUGAAUACAUAGCAUAUCAGAAGGCACACCCGGAGAACUGAAACAUCUUAGUACCCGGAGGAAGAGAAAGAAAAUUCGAUUCCCUUAGUAGCGGCGAGCGAAACGGGAAGAGCCCAAACCAACAAGCUUGCUUGUUGGGGUUGUAGGACACUCUAUACGGAGUUACAAAGGACGACAUUAGACGAAUCAUCUGGAAAGAUGAAUCAAAGAAGGUAAUAAUCCUGUAGUCGAAAAUGUUGUCUCUCUUGAGUGGAUCCUGAGUACGACGGAGCACGUGAAAUUCCGUCGGAAUCUGGGAGGACCAUCUCCUAAGGCUAAAUACUCUCUAGUGACCGAUAGUGAACCAGUACCGUGAGGGAAAGGUGAAAAGCACCCCGGAAGGGGAGUGAAAUAGAACCUGAAACCGUGUGCUUACAAGUAGUCAGAGCCCGUUAAUGGGUGAUGGCGUGCCUUUUGUAGAAUGAACCGGCGAGUUACGAUUUGAUGCAAGGUUAAGCAGUAAAUGUGGAGCCGUAGCGAAAGCGAGUCUGAAUAGGGCGUUUAGUAUUUGGUCGUAGACCCGAAACCAGGUGAUCUACCCUUGGUCAGGUUGAAGUUCAGGUAACACUGAAUGGAGGACCGAACCGACUUACGUUGAAAAGUGAGCGGAUGAACUGAGGGUAGCGGAGAAAUUCCAAUCGAACCUGGAGAUAGCUGGUUCUCUCCGAAAUAGCUUUAGGGCUAGCCUCAAGUGAUGAUUAUUGGAGGUAGAGCACUGUUUGGACGAGGGGCCCCUCUCGGGUUACCGAAUUCAGACAAACUCCGAAUGCCAAUUAAUUUAACUUGGGAGUCAGAACAUGGGUGAUAAGGUCCGUGUUCGAAAGGGAAACAGCCCAGACCACCAGCUAAGGUCCCAAAAUAUAUGUUAAGUGGAAAAGGAUGUGGCGUUGCCCAGACAACUAGGAUGUUGGCUUAGAAGCAGCCAUCAUUUAAAGAGUGCGUAAUAGCUCACUAGUCGAGUGACACUGCGCCGAAAAUGUACCGGGGCUAAACAUAUUACCGAAGCUGUGGAUUGUCCUUUGGACAAUGGUAGGAGAGCGUUCUAAGGGCGUUGAAGCAUGAUCGUAAGGACAUGUGGAGCGCUUAGAAGUGAGAAUGCCGGUGUGAGUAGCGAAAGACGGGUGAGAAUCCCGUCCACCGAUUGACUAAGGUUUCCAGAGGAAGGCUCGUCCGCUCUGGGUUAGUCGGGUCCUAAGCUGAGGCCGACAGGCGUAGGCGAUGGAUAACAGGUUGAUAUUCCUGUACCACCUAUAAUCGUUUUAAUCGAUGGGGGGACGCAGUAGGAUAGGCGAAGCGUGCGAUUGGAUUGCACGUCUAAGCAGUAAGGCUGAGUAUUAGGCAAAUCCGGUACUCGUUAAGGCUGAGCUGUGAUGGGGAGAAGACAUUGUGUCUUCGAGUCGUUGAUUUCACACUGCCGAGAAAAGCCUCUAGAUAGAAAAUAGGUGCCCGUACCGCAAACCGACACAGGUAGUCAAGAUGAGAAUUCUAAGGUGAGCGAGCGAACUCUCGUUAAGGAACUCGGCAAAAUGACCCCGUAACUUCGGGAGAAGGGGUGCUCUUUAGGGUUAACGCCCAGAAGAGCCGCAGUGAAUAGGCCCAAGCGACUGUUUAUCAAAAACACAGGUCUCUGCUAAACCGUAAGGUGAUGUAUAGGGGCUGACGCCUGCCCGGUGCUGGAAGGUUAAGAGGAGUGGUUAGCUUCUGCGAAGCUACGAAUCGAAGCCCCAGUAAACGGCGGCCGUAACUAUAACGGUCCUAAGGUAGCGAAAUUCCUUGUCGGGUAAGUUCCGACCCGCACGAAAGGCGUAACGAUUUGGGCACUGUCUCAACGAGAGACUCGGUGAAAUCAUAGUACCUGUGAAGAUGCAGGUUACCCGCGACAGGACGGAAAGACCCCGUGGAGCUUUACUGUAGCCUGAUAUUGAAAUUCGGCACAGCUUGUACAGGAUAGGUAGGAGCCUUUGAAACGUGAGCGCUAGCUUACGUGGAGGCGCUGGUGGGAUACUACCCUAGCUGUGUUGGAUUUCUAACCCGCACCACUUAUCGUGGUGGGAGACAGUGUCAGGCGGGCAGUUUGACUGGGGCGGUCGCCUCCUAAAAGGUAACGGAGGCGCUCAAAGGUUCCCUCAGAAUGGUUGGAAAUCAUUCAUAGAGUGUAAAGGCAUAAGGGAGCUUGACUGCGAGACCUACAAGUCGAGCAGGGUCGAAAGACGGACUUAGUGAUCCGGUGGUUCCGCAUGGAAGGGCCAUCGCUCAACGGAUAAAAGCUACCCCGGGGAUAACAGGCUUAUCUCCCCCAAGAGUUCACAUCGACGGGGAGGUUUGGCACCUCGAUGUCGGCUCAUCGCAUCCUGGGGCUGUAGUCGGUCCCAAGGGUUGGGCUGUUCGCCCAUUAAAGCGGUACGCGAGCUGGGUUCAGAACGUCGUGAGACAGUUCGGUCCCUAUCCGUCGUGGGCGUAGGAAAUUUGAGAGGAGCUGUCCUUAGUACGAGAGGACCGGGAUGGACAUACCUCUGGUGUACCAGUUGUCGUGCCAACGGCAUAGCUGGGUAGCUAUGUGUGGACGGGAUAAGUGCUGAAAGCAUCUAAGCAUGAAGCCCCCCUCAAGAUGAGAUUUCCCAACUUCGGUUAU